rnacentral:tRNA from 1 species
GGAGGGUAAGCGAAUGGUUAGCAACCUGAUUCGAAAUCAGGCGCCGGCUUGCCGGUUGCGGGUUCGAGUCCCGUGCCCUCCG